GACCUUGUGGUGCAACGGUAGCGUGUCUGACACCAGGUCAGAAGGUUGUGUGAUCAAGUCACAUCAAGGUCA
rnacentral:tRNA from 1 species